rnacentral:rRNA from 1 species
UACGGGGGGAGCAAGCGUUGUUCGGAUUUACUGGGCGUAAAGGGCGCGUAGGCGGCCUCCGCAAGUCAGUUGUGAAAUCUCCGAGCUUAACUCGGAAAGGUCAACUGAUACUGCGGGGCUAGAGUGCGGAAGGGGCAACUGGAAUUCUUGGUGUAGCGGUGAAAUGCGUAGAUAUCGAGAGGAACACCUGCGGCGAAGGCGGGUUGCUGGGCUGACACUGACGCUGAGGCGCGAAAGCUAGGGGAGCGAACGGG